rnacentral:rRNA from 1 species
UACGGGGGGGGUAAGCGUUGUUCGGAAUUACUGGGCGUAAAGGGCUCGUAGGCGGCCAACUAAGUCAUACGUGAAAUCCCUCAGCUUAACUGGGGAACUGCGUGUGAUACUGGAUGGCUUGGAUUUGGGAGAGGGAUGCGGAAUUCCAGGUGUGGCGGUGAAAUGCGUAGAUAUCUGGAGGAACACCGGUGGCGAAGGCGGCAUCCUGGACCAAUAUUGACGCUGAGGAGCGAAAGCCAGGAGAGCAAACGGG